GGUGCUGCUGCCUGUAGUUGCUGCAAUGAGCUGAGAAACGUGGGGUGAGGAGGAUGUGGGGACUGCAGCUUCUGUAUGUGUUCAGCCCCAGCUCACAGUGUGUUAACACGGGGCUCCCGCCACUUCUCGCUGCCUGUGCUCUUCAGAUGUCAAGUCUGCUAUGCAAGAAGUUAAACAGAUCUGCUCAAUGGGAAACUUGCCUUCUUUGUUGUCCAGAAGUUUAAUGUCAGUAGCAAUGAAUAAGAAAUAAAAGCCAAUUUUGGAUGCAAAGGAAGAAGGGGAGAAGCAGGAAAGAAAUGCAAAGGCAAUAUUGGUCAGCAUGAUGAAUGGUGAAUUCCAUGCAUCACUUUCCUUGAUAUUUAUUAAAGUUUGGAAAAAGCUUUCAGUAACUUCUUCUGCCUAUUUCCAAAACCAAUGAGACACUGGGAAAAAUGAAAGAGAUAGUGAACAAGGAAUAGAAAUCACAGAAGAAACUAUCCCUUUUUUUCCUCCUUUUCAACUUCAUUGGAUUGUAGCUUAUUGCUUGGAAAUUGGUGGAGCUGCAGAAUUUUGAUUCUCUGUUUUCUUCUCGGACAUAGUUAGAUCCAACAACUUCAGUUCUUCCAGGAUCCCCCAUCAACUACAAGGCAAGUAGCUUUUCAGCACUGAAACUAGUGGAGAAAGGGCAUCUUAACUCCUGGUCUUAUGCUUAGUCUGCUGGUCUGAAUCGUCUUUAAAGUUGGUUGAAGUUGGUCCUAUACCCUGCCUGUAGAAUGUCUAAUAAGAAUAGUUGUUCUUUUCAUUGUUGGUUUUGCUUAAGGUAGAAACUGCUGAUGAUGCUUAUAUCGUGGCUAGCAGCCAACCCAUCCACAAUGGGAUCAACUACGCUGAAGAAAUAGCUGUGAUGGCUUUGAAAUUCCUGAUGGCUGCGAUUUCUUGUGAGAUAGGCUCCAUGCCCAGAGAGCUGAGAUUGUGUUAUUGGCAUUCACGCAGGUAAACAGCCUCAGUCUGGUGUUGGUCAGCUGGGGGUGGCGGUCUGGGUGCAGCAGAGGGUAAGCAAUUGCUACCACUGAGGCAUAAUGACACCCCUAUCCCAAGAGCGAGGUAAAACCUGUUGGUGUAAACUUACAGGUGAUUAACCUUUGAAUUUUACCUUCUGUAUGCUAUUGGUGCUUGUGGGUUGUUAUUGUAUAUCACCAGAUAGAUAUUAAAUUGUAUAUAUCGACCUGUACAUUCGCUUGAUUGUAUGCGUGGAUCUUCUCUUUCUAAUACAAAUGAAAUCAAUACAAAAUUUGCAAGUUUUCUGAUUUCGUAAUUCAUACUCAGAUAUCAGGUCAGGCCGCUUAUUUUUCCUUGAUGACUAUUUCUGUUAUUCAGGUAACAUUCCAGAUGUAUGAGAUGAGUUGGAGUUGGACUUGCCCCCCUACUGCGACCUGCUCGCUUCAUCCCUUCUGCCUCAGUUUUUCUCAGUUUGUAUAGGGAGGAUUAAAUUUUUCAGAUUAGUUGCUAUUUUUGGAGUAUUUUGAGGUUUCCACUAAAAGAUGCUAUAGAAGCAUUGGGCUUUAAGACAAUGAAAUGUGCUCAGAAUACCCCUAACGGGGCUUAUUAAUCAGUAUGUAAGUUUAUACUGCUGAGCAAACAUUUCACAGUGACAGCACCUCUGCUUUAGUAUUAGACGUCAGCUUUAGCUCUCACCAAGGAGUAGGAUCAAUGUUCCCCAUUCCCAUCACUCAGUACCACAUCAUUUGAACACUGCUGAGUGUGCUUAUGGAAAAGCACAGUGCAAUUUAAACCUGCAAGAUCUUCUCAAAACAUACUUCAGGACCAUGCUACUGACAAGUCCAUGCUACCUAUUGUGAGUUAAUAGUCUCUUUAAAAUUAGGUCACUGUGACAUACAUCCUGAAUCUUUCUGUUGAUGUAUGCUAUUGUGUUCAUUCCCAGAAGAAAAAUACUGAUGUUAUUUUCUGAAUAGUAGAGCAAGUGAGCAUAAGCAGGAAGGCAGACUAACUUGCAGCAGAAUGGGAUCCCUGCCAGAGGUGUUUUGUGACACAGUGUGUAAAUCCCCACAGGGAGCCAGUCUGUGGGAGGAGGGUGUUAAUGUGAAUGAAACCACAUGCAGAGAGAAUUUAGCAGGAGAGGAGGCACAGGCUGCUCAGUGUGGAACCAGUCUGGGAAGGCUGGAGACUGGUUGCACCAUAGAAGAGCUGUUUGCAUUCCAGUGGGCUUCAUAUAGGGGCAUUUAACAACGUUUAUCUUAGAAUUCAGAGCUGGAGCAUGUCUAACGUAAUUGCUUUUGAAGAACAGAAUAAAAAAUAGGUGGUUAGUAGUUUUUCUUUCCAACAACAAAGGAAAAUGUGCUGGAAAGUGUGCUGAUCUCCAAGCGCUAGGGUACAACACAGCUCUGACAACUCAGGAUGUCUCUUCCUUUAGUGCCUCACUGCGUCGAGUAUAGAGCAUCAAGGCUGGAAAGUACCAGGCUGCAGAGGUGGCAUGCUUGCUGCUAUGUACUCCUGAACAUUUUGUUAGAUAUGAUUCACUCUCUUUCAUUGGCAGUUUCUCCUGGACCUUCUUAUUUGUUAUUUGCAUAUGCAGUGACUGUCAAAGGCCAUCUAAGUUAAUGGUGUUUACCAUUCUGAAGUGAGAAUUGUGACCCAUCUACAGUGAUCAAAGUAUUGUGUAAAUGUGUGUCACUGUACUAGUGCUACUGUGCUGCAACCUGUGUUGUUAUUUUGAUACCUGUGUGUGUUCGUUGGCUCUCCUGCUUCUUGCCAUGACCUUGGUGGUCUUGUGCAUCAUCUUUACAAUGACAAAAUGUGAUAAGGAAAGCAUGCAAAAUCCCUUACUCUGUUAGAGUUUGUUCAAAUAGGAGGAAGAACUGGGACGAAACCAAAUUAAAACCUUUAGGUGAAUCUCCUUCUAAACAGGUUAUCUGUGUGCACUGUAGCUAACCUUCCUUUCCCUGCAUCCCUAUGAAUGGCCUUGAGUUUCACAUGCAGAUGCAGAGAUGUAGGCGAGCACCUUCAUGCCCCACCAGCUGAGAAAGAUUCAGAGUUAUGGUGCAUCUGAAAUUAAGAUGCUUAUCAAGCGUUAGCUUGCACUAAAAUCUUUUGCAACACUUGUGUUUUUGAAUACUGGAAACAAAAAUAUCAUUUAGCUCAGUAAAUAUCAUUGAUUUUAUAUACAGGUUAAGAAAAAUGAAAGUGAAUAAUAGUCCAUUUUUUA